rnacentral:rRNA from 1 species
CCUACGGGAGACAGCAGUGAGGAAUAUUGGUCAAUGGACGAGAGUCUGAACCAGCCAAGUAGCGUGAAGGAUGACUGCCCUAUGGGUUGUAAACAUCUUUUAUAUGGGAAUAAAACGUUCCACGUGUGGGAUUUUGUAUGUACCAUAUGAAUAAGGAUCGGCUAACUCCGUGCCAGCAGCCGCGGUAAUACGGAGGAUCCGAGCGUUAUCCGGAUUUAUUGGGUUUAAAGGGAGCGUAGGUGGAUUGUUAAGUCAGUUGUGAAAGUUUGCGGCUCAACCGUAAAAUUGCAGUUGAAACUGGCAGUCUUGAGUACAGUAGAGGUGGGCGGAAUUCGUGGUGUAGCGGUGAAAUGCUUAGAUAUCACGAAGAACUCCGAUUGCGAAGGCAGUUCACUGGACUGCAACUGACACUGAGGCUCGAAAGUGUGGGUAUCAAACAGGAUUAGAUACCCUAGUAGUC